GCGGUAAUACAGAGGGUGCAAGCGUUAAUCGGAAUUACUGGGCGUAAAGCGCACGUAGGCGGUUUUUUAAGUCAGAUGUGAAAGCCCCGGGCUCAACCUGGGAAUUGCAUUUGAAACUGGAAAACUAGAGUGUGUGAGAGGGGGGUAGAAUUCCAAGUGUAGCGGUGAAAUGCCUAGAGAUUUGGAGGAAUACCAGUGGCGAAGGCGGCCCCCUGGCACAACACUGACGCUCAGGUGCGAAAGCGUGGGGAGCAAACAGGAUUAGAUACCCUGGUAGUCCACGCCGUAAACGAUGUCUACUAGCUGUUCGUGACCUUGUGUCGUGAGUAGCGCAGCUAACGCACUAAGUAGACCGCCUGGGGAGUACGGUCGCAAGAUUAAAACUCAAAUGAAUUGACGGGGGCCCGCACAAGCGGUGGAGCAUGUGGUUUAAUUCGACGCAACGCGAAGAACCUUACCUACUCUUGACAUCCAGAGAAGACUGCAGAGAUGCGGUUGUGCCUUCGGGAACUCUGA
rnacentral:rRNA from 1 species